rnacentral:siRNA from 1 species
CCAUUCGUUCAUCUUCCAACUAA